GUUUUGUAAAUAAUACCUGUCUCC
rnacentral:piRNA from 1 species